GACGAACGCUGGCGGCGUGCUUAACACAUGCAAGUCGAGCGGAAAGGCCACUUCGGUGGUACUCGAGCGGCGAACGGGUGAGUAACACGUGAGUAAUCUGCCCCUGGCUUUGGGAUAGCCACCGGAAACGGUGAUUAAUACCGGAUACGACCACUUCUCGCAUGGGAUGGUGGUGGGAAGUUUUUUCGGCCAGGGAUGUGCUCGCGGCCUAUCAGCUUGAUGGUGAGGUAAUGGCUCACCAUGGCUUCGACGGGUAGCCGGCCUGAGAGGGUGACCGGUCACGCUGGGACUGAGACACGGCCCAGACUCCUACGGGAGGCAGCAGUGGGGAAUAUUGGACAAUGGGCGGAAGCCUGAUCCAGCAACGCCGCGUGAGGGAUGACGGCCUUCGGGUUGUAAACCUCUUUCAGCAGGGACGAAGCGCAAGUGACGGUACCUGCAGAAGAAGCACCGGCCAACUAUGUGCCAGCAGCCGCAGUAA
rnacentral:rRNA from 1 species